rnacentral:lncRNA from 1 species
UUACAUUUGAACAUGGGUCUGUGUCCACUCCGAAGCCCGUUCUUCCUACUGCAUACAACACACUAGCACAGAAGAUGGUCCUCUUUCUUUGCUUAGAUUGUUUCAAAAUUGAUUUUCCAUUUUCAGGGAUAUGGAAUGUCAUUCUGGAAGUAGGUGAUAAUUAUGUUCGGUGGCUUGAGAUUGGCAUGAUCUCCGGGAUACGAGUCUGCAGGCCACAUCAGCCAGUCACGUGUGUGGGCAACUCACUUUACCUCGGUGGACCUUUUUCUCUCCCAGAAAACCAUAAGGAUGGAUUGAAGGACUAAAGUCCAACAGUUAAAACUGUUCCUUUUAAUUCUAAAAUCCUCUGAGUGUAUGAACUGCUUCACCUUUGCAUAGAGGACAAGCUUGUGCUCAGGAGGGCCUGAAUUAUUUCAGUUCCCUGAAUGUGCUGGCCCUCCUCAUGCAGGAGCUGCCCCAGGGUUUGUAAACCUUCCCCUACUACCAGGCACCACCACUGCUAUCUGAUGGCCGCACAAAGGAAUGAGUGAACACCGUCAGGAAGACAUUGGUCCUGUGCUCUACGAGAGGGUGUGCCCAACCACCACUGUCCUCUCAGCAUCCUCCAUUGUGACCAACGUCACCAGGGCUGCCCGAGGAAACCCUAAGAGAGGGAGGGGUAUUUUCCGUGAAAACACACCUGGAUGCAGGUCUAGGAAACCAACCCCUGGUCAGAGUAGCCCAAGAGAGAACAGGCCCAUGCCCAGUGCUUUGGUGCAAGCACAGCAGCUGGCCUGAAGAUAAGAGUUAAAUGAAUCCAGCCCCCUGAAAGGAAGGUUGUCUAUGCUACAGAAUCAAAUCAGGAAGAAAGGAAGCUAUUCUCUCACCUAAGGGCAUUGAGAAAGCAAGGCUGAAGACUAGGUGGGCAACAGCGCUGCAUGUCAAAGGGUUUACUGUGAUUUCACAAAGCUCCAUAGAAAGCCUCCAAAUGAAGACUGGCAGGCUGGGAAAGUCUCUGAAACCAUGAAGAAAAGGGACUAGUGGAGGAGCUGCCCUCAAGAGAAAGGCAAGAUGUUGAGUUUAGAUGGCCUCAGAAUAUUAAGCACCUAACCUGCUCUGUCAUUUAGGUUAAUUCAUGGAGCCCUAUAUAUAUAUAUAUAUAU